AAGAGGUCCCGCCUGCCCUGUGACUUAAAUUUUAACGGCCGCGGUAUCUUGACCGUGCAAAGGUAGCGUAAUCACUUGUCUUUUAAAUGAAGACCUGUAUGAAUGGCAAAACGAGGGCUUAACUGUCUCCUUCCCCCAGUCAAUGAAAUUGAUCUCCCCGUGCAGAAGCGGGGAUGCCGACAUAAGACGAGAAGACCCUAUGGAGCUUUAGACGUACUGACAGAUCACGUAAAGCCUUCUUAACUAAAAGAUAAAACCGACCGACCCCUGUCACGAUGUCUUUGGUUGGGGCGACCCCGGGGAAAUAAAAAACCCCCGAGCGGAAUGAAGACACCUCAGCUUCAUGAACGAGAGCCGCAGCUCACAAAAUCAGAACCUCUGACCUAAAGAUCCGAUACAAUCGAUCAACGGACCGAGUUACCCUAGGGAUAACAGCGCAAUCCCCUUUCAGAGCCCCUAUCGACAAGGGGGUUUACGACCUCGAUGUUGGAUCAGGACAUCCUAAUGGUGCAGCCGCUAUUAAGGGCUCGUUUGUUCAACGAUUAAAGUCCU
rnacentral:rRNA from 1 species